rnacentral:rRNA from 1 species
GACGAACGCUGGCGGCGUGCCUAAUACAUGCAAGUAGAACGCUGAAGCGAGGAGCUUACUCUUCUUGGAUGAGUUGCGAACGGGUGAGUAACGCGUAGGUAACCUGCCUUGUAGCGGGGGAUAACUAUUGGAAACGAUAGCUAAUACCGCAUAACAAUGGAUGACACAUGUCAUUUAUUUGAAAGGGGCAAUUGCUCCACUACAAGAUGGACCUGCGUUGUAUUAGCUAGUAGGUGAGGUAAUGGCUCACCUAGGCGACGAUACAUAGCCGACCUGAGAGGGUGAUCGGCCACACUGGGACUGAGACACGGCCCAGACUCCUACGGGAGGCAGCAGUAGGGAAUCUUCGGCAAUGGGGGCAACCCUGACCGAGCAACGCCGCGUGAGUGAAGAAGGUUUUCGGAUCGUAAAGCUCUGUUGUAAGUCAAGAACGGGUGUGAGAGUGGAAAGUUCACACUGUGACGGUAGCUGACCAGAAAGGGACGGCUAACUACGUG